ensembl:lncRNA
UCUCCCUUUAAAUUUUUCAGUUUUUGGAGGCACCUCUUAAAGCUACAAAAGUCCUUCUAUAGCACCGCCUUCAAUGGGCCUCACAGAUUUGUCUAGAAUGUUUUCAUUAUCACCCAGAUCUACCUCUUACUGUCCUGCACGAUCUCCCUGGAAACCCAUGGGUUAUUUAGUAACAUCAUUUACUUCUCAGUAGUAUUUAUUGUAACCUUUGGUUUCUAAUUUAGUGGCAUUAUUUUCAGAGACAAAGUGUACUCAGUCAAGAUGCUGGCAGGAGGCAGUUGGCACUCAAACUGGGUAAUCUGAGUGUUUGACAGAGAGACCAUUAACACAGGUGUGGGCAGGAGGUCAGAGUCCCAGGGCCUGGCGGCUUCCAGCAGCCUUCAGCCUACAGGGGAGGAGGUACAGCCCUGAAGGGAGAGGACAGCACCCCACUGCCUCCCCUGAGCUGAAUGUGAAGGGGAGCUGGAGCAGGAGCUCCCUUGCAGCACAGUGCACUCGGGCUCUCCCAAACAACGGGCAAAGGAACCACAUGCACAAACAAGCGGGAGUCGUGUCUGUGUGGGGCUGCAGCUCUGGGACCCAAGGCCUCCUUGGGUCCUAAUAUGGGGUUCAUCUCUAUGAAUGCUCUAUCUGUGCACCAAACAGUAUCUUUGCUGUGUGGUGAGGACAGUUUUGUAUAUAUUUACUAGUUCAAGAUUACUAAUUAUAUUGAUCAAGGGUUGAGGAUCUUUGCUAAGUUUUGUCAGCUUGAGCUGUUAAUUUUAUUUUAAUGAAAACCUGGGGGCAGGGCAUUUAGCUCAGUGGUUCCAGCGCCUGCCUCAAAAGCGCAAGGUCCCAAGUUCAAUCCCCGAUACCAAAAAAAAACCCCUGAAUUAUAAGCUAAAGAUGUAGCUCAGAUUUAGAGCUUUUCUAGCAUGCACAAACCCUGAUGUGAUCCCCAGCACCACACACACACUCACACGCACACUCACACGAUCUCCAGUUACAAUUGGAGGAUUGUACUUCUCCCCUCGGCCCUGCAGAUGUUGCUGGAUUUGAGUGUUGUAUAUUAAGAUGUCGGCCUCGUUUCCUGUCGUUCAUAUUUGCCUGGGCUCACUUUGCACGAAGCCUGCCACAGCAGCUGUAGGGCUGUGGCUCCAAACGCAAGCCCCACUGACCACCAGCCCCAGCUGCUGCCCUUGGGAUCCCCCUUGGUAUUAAAGCAUGGCCACCUCCUCCUGGCCACUCCCAGUCAAAGGUGGGGUGCAGCAGGGUCCUCGUGCUGACCUUUCCCGCCCACUGCCAACUCCUCUGCUGGACAGUGCCAUCAGGACCUGAAACAGCCUGGCCAGGACCUCUGGGAAAGGGACCCUGGCCUGGGACCAUCCACCCCGGCCUCCUCCAGCAUCUGUCUCCAUGCGCUGCCUCCUGUCAAUCAUAGGCACAACCCCCACCUCAGCCCAUCUCAGCCUCCGCUUCUCAGAGGGCUGCUCACGCUCACCCUGGGAACGUGUCUCUCUCCAUGUCCUCAGGGGCCCAAGGCAGGACAAAGGCACAGGUCCAGGACACAGAGCGGCCUCCAGGGCUCGAGGACCCUGCUCCCCUCUGUCCCAAGGCCUCUCUUGCUCUGCACUUGCUGUGUGGGGUGUUUCUGAUUUGCUAUUUGAUGUCAUUCUUAGUAAAGAAAAAUUAAAAUUUUGACAUUG